GAGUUUGAUUCUGGCUCAGGAUGAACGCUGGCGGCGUGCUUAACACAUGCAAGUCGAACGAAGCGGGAAGGAAGAAGUUUUUCGAAAUGGAUUUUUUCUUUGCUUAGUGGCGGACGGGUGCGUAACACGUAGGUAACCUGCCCUGUGCUUGGGAAUAACUCCGGGAAACCGGUGCUAAUGCCGAAUAAUAUCGCCUGUCGGCAUCGAGAGGCGAUCAAAGAAUGUUGGCACAGGAUGGGCCUGCGCCGGAUUAGCUGGUUGGUGAGGUAACGGCUCACCAAGGCGACGAUCCGUAGCCGACCUGAGAGGGUGAUCGGCCACACUGGAACUGAGACACGGUCCAGACUCCUACGGGAGGCAGCAGUGGGGAAUAUUGCACAAUGGGGGAAACCCUGAUGCAGCAACGCCGCGUGAGCGAUGAAGGCUUUCGAGUCGUAAAGCUCUGUCCUAUGGGAAGAUG
rnacentral:rRNA from 1 species